AAAGGGGGAACUUGUAGGGUACUACUUGCGCAAAGAUCUUCAUAGAAAGACAGAAGAUCAUCCAAGCGUAUGCAAAUGAGUUUUUUCCGCUUCCAAAACGAGACCAAAAUUAGCGCAACUGAAUUAAUUAGCAAGUGGAGGAAUCACUUGCCACAUUUUACUUUUAUUAUUUAUGUGACCUUGAGAGGAGAUGGCGGAAUAGGCCAGGCCCUAACGUUUCAUGGACCAGCCCAUCCCCAAAGCCAAAGGCAGACGCCAAAGACAAGAGCCAGACACCUUUAUGGCGUCCAGUAACUAUGCAAGUUUCCCUCUGUUCCCGUCCCCUCCCCAGAUGUGAUAUAUAGCUUCGUCUGCGACUUCCAUUUGAUUUCUGUUUCUCAUGUUUUUCAUUUCACAAUUACAUAUUAUUAAAUAUCAUUUUCAAUAGGUUACCCGCCCUUAGCCUUAGGCUUUCAUCUGUUUUGGCGUUUUGUUUUCUGCAUUUCACGGAUACAUUUUUGGCCAAUGAUGUUGCAACUUUUUUGAAGAAAUUCCUAUGUAUAAUAUUUAUGGAUCUGUGACCCAAUUCCUUUUGAUUGAUAGAGCUGGCUAAUUUGAGAUUUUAUUUUGGCUAUUCCUCAGUGUGGUUCACACGAUUUUGCCUCUAGAGAUAGAUACAGAUCUCGCAGAAUAAUUUUGCACUUUUUCUUAAUGGCUUUUAAAACAAAUUAGAGACAGCUGCUGUUUAUUUUUUUGCAACCGAGUGGAAGCGGAUCCAAAGGCGUUUCACAGCCAUAACUACCGCGGGGGAUGGAAGCGUAGGGUCAUUCGCAGAUUGAGUGAUGUGGGAAGCGCAACAAAUGGAGGAUGAUGAUGUUAUGGGAGGUGCUAAUAGAUUUCAAGCCUUAAAGGUGAACUGAUUUGUAGGGAAUAGUUCCGUAUAUUUGAGUUGGCUACAGCUCUUUCUACGAGUAUUAUUUCAUUUGGCUGUCUAUCGCUGAAAACUGACAGUUUAAACUGCCAACAAGCUGCCAGUUGGCUUUUGUUAGACUGCAAACGAGGCAACCCAGGCAGACAUAAUGCCCACACAAGAACUGACAGCGCGAAACAAUGUCGCCAGAGAGAAAUACAUACACACUCGUAUGGGCAUGGGUAUGGAUACUCUCCAUAUCUCAGUGGAGUCCCACGCACGUGGCAUGAGCUGAAUGCCAUAUGAGAGGAGGUGCAGAAGAAGGAGUAGCUGCAGGCGCUGUUCCACAGAUGCUAAUCAAUUGGCAUGGCAACGAAAGUAUGCCAAAGUCAGCUGCCACUGGGCCUGUCUUGGCCCUUUUUCCACUAUUUUCCAAUUACCAUUUCAAAUUCGAAAGUAAACACACAAAUUAUCACACAU